rnacentral:lncRNA from 1 species
AUUUAUAUAGGCUAACCAAAUUAAUAAUUUAAUACAAGCACAUAACCAAAUAGGAAUUUACAAGAAUAAGAAGAAUUAAAGUUUGGGCCUUUUCCCAAAUCUGGCCAGCUUUUGGGCCCAUUUUUUAUGGACUUUUGAUCCAUUUAUGCAGGGAAAAAAUACAUAAAGUAGCAUAUUUAAGUAUUAAAUUACAAAAAAUAACAACACUUUUAUCAAAUUACAUUUUGUAGCAUAUGUAUUUAUGUUUUUGUAGCAAAAGUUUGCAAAAAUACAAAAUACAUAUCGAUCAUAAGGCCAGUAAAAAUCAUAUGUAUUUGUAUUUUUGUAGCAACAGUUUGCAAAAAUACAAAAUACAACUUGCUAUAUUAUGUAAUUAUGAAACUGUUGCUAUGAAACUCAUAAUUAAAGGCAUAAGUAUGUUAUUUCUUAAUGUUGCCCUUUAUGCAAUUGUAUACUAGCUGUAUACAGCCACGUUUUACCCAGCAUUUUUUGUAUAUAUUCUGUAUAUCCGCAUAUAAAAAUCCAUGUACAAGCUUCCAGUGUCAUUAUGCAAUCAUACACCGGUGUAUACCGACUACCUCCGACCUGGGAACCUCGUAUAUCAGGAGUAUACCAAUUUAUACCAGUUUCGCUUCUUCAAAAAUAAAGACAUUUGGGACUUGUAGAGGAUGUAGGCCUCUUUGGCCUAUUGAGAAACGCAGGGAAUGGAGUCCGUUGGGACUCAAGUCAAC